GAACCCAUUUAGUUCUGUUUGUGUGUCUUCUAAGGCUGUGCACACAUUUCCUGUAUUUUCUUGUUGCAUUAGAAGAAAAAAGACUGAGAAAUAAAUAUGUGUGUUCAUUUCAAUGCUGCAAAAACAACUAAUCUAAAGGCCGCCUAAACCGUUUGCACAGUAGUUUAUACUUAGGUUAGUUUUGACU